UUUUGGGCAAUGGGCGAAAGCCUGACCCAGCAACGCCGCGUGAGGGAUGAAGUAUUUCGGUAUGUAAACCUCGAAAGAAUGGGAAGAAUAAAUGACGGUACCAUUUAUAAGCUCCGGCUAACUACGUGCCAGCAGCCGCGGUAAUACGUAAGGAGCAAGCGUUGUUAGGAUUUACUGGGCGUAAAGGGCGCGUAGGCGGCGCGGUAAGUCACUUGUGAAAUCUCUGAGCUUAACUCAGAACGGCCAAGUGAUACUGCUGUGCUAGAGUGCGGAAGAGGCAACCGGAAUUAUUGGUGUAGCGGUGAAAUGCGUAGAUAUCAAGAGGAACACCUGAGGCGAAGGCGGGUUGCUGGGCCGACACUGACGCUGAUGCGCGAAAGCCAGGGGAGCAAACG
rnacentral:rRNA from 1 species